rnacentral:sRNA from 1 species
GCCGGGAGUGCUGGCGCACACCUGUUAUCCCAGCAGCUCAGGAGGCGGAGGCAGGAGGAUCGUGAGUUCAAAACCAGCCUUGGCAACUUAGCAAGUCGCUAAGCAACUCAGUGAGACCCUGUCUCUG